UUUUGGAGUAUUUGUCACUGUGAAGCCUAGUGAGAUUUCUCGCUGUAUCUUAUAAAACACAUUAAUUACCUGGUCCACCUAUGUGGCAUUCAUCUCAUCGAUUCUAUUUCCAUCUUGUCGUAUACCUUCCUGGAAUAAAUCACAACUCAAUGGAUAUCCACUAAAAGAUCAACAUCCCUUGCAUCUCACCAUCUGUAAAAAGAGACCAGGACAAGCUCUGGCAUUGCAAAGCUACCUGUUUGUUUGAGGACAUUUUUUGAAGACGUCUGAUAAACGGGAGAUAGCACCAUAAUUCUCCAAACGGGACCUGGAAGUUCUGGUCAAGGAGGUGGUGCAAAAGACAGGAGGACUCUCCCCAGAGGACUGGCAGAGGAGACCAUCAGAACCUGGCAGUCUAGUCCAAGAUCACCACCCUGAUCAGUGCUAUCUCCACAGUGCAAUAUGAAGGUCAGCUGUACUAGGGAGAAAAUGGCCCAUAUCUGGGAAGGAAAAGCCAAGGCAGGUAGAGAGAGGGGUCCCUGACAUUAAGCUCGUCAUUCCUCAUGAGGAGACAAUCCUGGCCCUUGCAGGAGAAGACAGGGGCUGUUCCUGUGGGGACGCUAAGCUAUCCAUGUGCCACCAACCAAGUACAUCUAACAUCUGAACUAUUUCCUUGGUGAAUGGAGAAAGCAUUGGCAAGGCUGCCUGUUACGCCAUUCCAAAUACUGAUACCAUUACAGACACCCCAAUGGGAAUAUUAGCCUUAGAGAGGGUGUGACCACCAUCUGUUGAGCACUUCACUGUGACAUGACAAAAUGCCCGAGGCCGCUGGCACUCAGAGGGCUGCCAAA